CCUUACAUCAACAUUGCCCUCCAGUGCCCUACCCUCGCUCCGGCGUCCCUGCUUGUUCUGUCAACGAAUCGUGUAAGAAGUUGGACAGUUCAUCUUCGAGGUUUUGGUCUUCAAUACUUGUGGCAUCCUCAACAGUAUCCAUCAUGCAAACAUGAUAAUUUUAUCGACUUUAUUUAGACGUAACUCAAUCGUUUCCAGUCACCAAAACCAGCGACAAUAUUGAUGUUGGCCCAGCAACCGCGC